rnacentral:piRNA from 4 species
UUUUACUAAAGAUUUCCGUGGAGA